rnacentral:rRNA from 1 species
CCUACGGGGGGCAGCAGUGGGGAAUAUUGGACAAUGGGGGCAACCCUGAUCCAGCCAUGCCGCGUGUGUGAAGAAGGCCCUCGGGUUGUAAAGCACUUUCAGUGAGGAAGAACGCCUGGUGGUUAAUACCCAUCAGGAAAGACAUCACUCACAGAAGAAGCACCGGCUAACUCCGUGCCAGCAGCCGCGGGAAUACGGAGGGUGCGAGCGUUAAUCGGAAUUACUGGGCGUAAAGCGCGCGUAGGUGGCUUGAUAAGCCGGUUGUGAAAGCCCCGGGCUCAACCUGGGAACGGCAUCCGGAACUGUCAAGCUAGAGUGCAGGAGAGGAAGGUAGAAUUCCCGGUGUAGCGGUGAAAUGCGUAGAGAUCGGGAGGAAUACCAGUGGCGAAGGCGGCCUUCUGGACUGACACUGACACUGAGGUGCGAAAGCGUGGGUAGCAAACAGGAUUAGAUACCCCAGUAGUC